AGAUAUUGGAACACUUAUUAGGAAUCAAAAAUCUGGAAAAUAUGGAGAGAAACUAUCAGUUCCAGCCAAAAAAAGUUAUAUACCAAUUGUAAAUGACAAAGCACCAAAAAUACCAGCAUAUUUAUUAGGAAAAAGUUUUCAUAAGAAUCACUUGCAUCGCAACAAAUGCGAUGAAAAAAAGCAACCCAUAGAAGUAUCUUCCAAUGAUAAUGGUGGCUCUAAUAUAGAAAGUAAAUUAUCCGAAGAACAUGAUGAAGUCAUUAAAAAAUUAGAAGCUAAUAAUGAACCUUCAAAUGACGUUACAAUACCUGAAGUGUCUACUGAUAAAGUAAAAGAAACACUAGAAGAAAAAAUAAUUCAUUUAGAACCCGCAAAAUGUGGAGCAAAAGAGCAAUUACAAGAGUUAUCCUCUUCUGAAAGUUCAAAUUUAAAAAGAAAGUUAUCCGAUAAAGAUGAAAAAAUCAUAAAAAAGGCAAAAAUUAGUUCUGAAUUUUUACAUGCGACAACGUCAAAUGAUGUUACAUUACCAAAAGUGUCUACUGAUAAAGUAAAAGAAACUCCAGAAGACAAAAUAAGUCAUUUAGAACCCACAAAAUGUGGAGCAAA